UGGGGAAUAUUGGACAAUGGGGGGAACCCUGAUCCAGCCAUGCCGCGUGUGUGAAGAAGGCCUUAUGGUUGUACAGCACUUUAAGCGAGGAGGAGGGUACUGGUAUUAAUACUACCAGGUACUGGACGUCACUCGCAGAAUAAGCACCGGCUAACUCUGUGCCAGCAGCCGCGGUAAUACAGAGGGUGCGAGCGUUAAUCGGAUUUACUGGGCGUAAAGCGUGCGUAGGCGGCUAAUUGAGUCGGAUGUGAAAUCCCCGAGCUUAACUUGGGAAUUGCAUUCGAUACUGGUUAGCUAGAGUGUGGGAGAGGAUGGUAGAAUUCCAGGUGUAGCGGUGAAAUGCGUAGAGAUCUGGAGGAAUACCGAUGGCGAAGGCAGCCAUCUGGCCUAACACUGACGCUGAGGUACGAAAGCAUGGGGAGCAAACAGG
rnacentral:rRNA from 1 species